CUUCAGAUCCACUGAGAAGCCACCAACCAGGUUCCUGUUCCUCCUGUUCCACGGGGAGACGAUCUGUAGGACGGCAUGGCUGGUACUAUGGGAAACAGGGUAAAAAUGGCGGUGGGAGUUGAGCACCGAGAGUGUGAAGGAGAGAGGCCAGGAAGACAGGUCUUUCCUUAGCGGAGACAAGCAUCAUAUGAAUACCCAGAUAACUGGAAAUACAGCCAACUUUCUGUGGAUUAUUCAGUGGAGGUCAAGCUUAAUCCAAGUUGGAUGGGACUUACCUCCUCUCUAAGAAUGGGGACACUCUUCUUAGAGAAGGUAAGUGUUUUGUGAUGGGCUGGACAUGGAAGAGAGCACCGUGCCUGGGUCGAUGGGGAGGACGAGACACUUGGAUCCCUCCUAAGAGGAGGCCCAGGAGUGGAAGUGAGUGGCUGACGUCAGCACUGCGCUUAGACCCAGCCAGAGGGAUGCUCUCUUGGGGUCCUCCUCUGUCUCCCUUCUGCCUGUGCUGUAUGGGUGCUGAGGGGUUGUGGGACCAGGACAUGCGUUCACCCUCAGCUCGUGCCUCCCCACCUCUACCUCCUGCCUGGAAUUCCUUGGCCUUUCUCCUGGGUCAGUGCUCCAGAGCACAGAAUACAAAGGGCUUGCAGGGUGAGGGUGGGUUGGCCCAUAGGGGCUAGGGAACUGUGGCUCAUAGAAGGCAUAUUUGGGACUUGAGGGUGUGGACUGGAGCACCUGUGUAUAUGAGAGGCUUAUGCUCUGCGGGACAGGAUGACAAGAGAAGAGACAGUGGGUCAAAAUCCUGGGAUGGGCUUUCUUUGCAUCUCCUCAUCCCAGGCAGAACCCUAAGGAGUCUGAGAAGUCUCAGUGUGAAAGUGGC
ensembl:lncRNA